GAUUCCCUUAGUAACGGCGAGUGAACCGGGAUGAGCUCAAAUUUAAAAUCUGGCGUCUUUCAGGCGUCCGAGUUGUAAUCUAUAGAGGCGUUUUCCGCGCCGGACCGCGUCCAAGUCUCUUGGAAUAGAGUAUCAAAGAGGGUGACAAUCCCGUACUUGACGCGACAACCGGUGCUCUGUGAUACGUUCUCAAUGAGUCGAGUUGUUUGGGAAUGCAGCUCUAAAUGGGUGGUAAAUUCCAUCUAAGGCUAAAUAUUGGCGAGAGACCGAUAGCGAACAAGUACCGUGAGGGAAAGAUGAAAAGCACUUUGGAAAGAGAGUUAAACAGCACGUGAAAUUGUUAAAAGGGAAACGAUUGAAGUCAGUCGUGUGAAAGGUAUUCAGCCGUCUCUGGCGGUGUAUUUGCCUUUCACGGGUCAACAUCAGUUUGAUCCGGUAGAAAAAGGCGGGAGGAAGGUGGCACCCUCGGGUGUGUUAUAGCCUCCUGUCAUAUGUGCCGGACCAGACUGAGGAACGCAGCUUGCCGCAAGGCCGGGGUUCGCCCACGUACAAGCUUAGGAUGUUGACAUAAUGGCUUUAAACGACCCGUCUUGAAACACGGACCAAG
rnacentral:rRNA from 1 species